CACACAGUGUGAGCAAAUGAUCCUAACAGAAGAGAAAAAAACACCCUCACUGAGAAAAACACACAAAUCAUUUAUUGGCAUUUAUACCAUUUACACAUUAACUUUCAUUUUAUUUUU
rnacentral:ribozyme from 1 species